CGGGGAGGGUAGGCGCCCGCCCAGCACCAACUUGACGAUGUUUCGCCGGGGCAGGGCAGCGGCACAAAGCCGAAAUUGCAACCGGCUACGCUUUAGGCCAAGCAUGGUCAAGUUGGUGCUGGGAGGAAAGUCCGAACUCCAGGUGGGAGCACGCUGGGUAACGCCCAGCCGCGGUAACGCGAGGGAAAGUGCCACAGAAAACAUACCGCCCCGCACCACUUCCCCAAAAGGGGCCACCACGCCAGGGAAGGCCUCCUGGGCCAAAACCUGCGAGGCCGCCGUCCCUUGGGGAAGUGGUGCGGGGUAAGGGUGAAAAGGUGGGGUAAGAGCCCACCGCUCGGCCGGUGACGGCCGGGGCAUGGCAAACCCCGUGCGGAGCAAGGCCAAAUAGGGGGACCAACGGGCCCCACCCCCGGUGGCGCCAAAAGCGCCGGGUCCCCGGGUAGGCCGCUUGAGCUGGCAGGUAACUGCCAGCCCAGAGGAAUGGGUGCCCUCGACAGAAUUCGGCUUACAGCCCUCCCCGACGC
rfam:Thermoanaerobaculum aquaticum strain MP-01 contig_10, whole genome shotgun sequence.